GGAACCGGGAGAGGUAAGAGGUACUACAGGGGUAGGAGUGAAAUCUUGUAAUCCCUCGUGGGACCACCUGUGGCGAAGGCGUCUUACCAGAACGGGUUCGACGGUGAGGGACGAAAGCUGGGGGCACGAACCGGAUUAGGAUACCCGGGUAGUCCCAGCCGUAAACGAUGCUCGCUAGGUGUCAGGCAUGGCGCGACCGUGUCUGGUGCCGCAGGGAAGCCGUGAAGCGAGCCACCUGGGAAGUACGGCCGCAAGGCUGAACUUAAAGGAAUUGGCGGGGGAGCACAACAACGGGUGGAGCCUGCGGUUUAAUUGGACUCAACGCCGGACAACUCACCGGGGGCGACAGCAAUAUGUAGGCCAAGCUGAAGACUUUGCCUGAAUCGCUGAGAGGAGAGGUGCAUGG
rnacentral:rRNA from 1 species